CCUGGAGGCCGAAGGCUCCUGCGUGACGUAACUCGUCGCGUCGUAUCGUCGUCGUCGUCGUUGCUCUAGCAUCGACACAUAGGUAUCAUCCGAUGUAAAUUAUACAGGUAUCCGGGUAAAUUCCAACCGGAUGGAUCGAGUACCCUCCAGGCCGUUGCCACUGUUUGCUUGCCACUUGGCAAACCAGGAAACUGAAAAAAUACAACUUUAGGCUGGACCACGGAUGAAUCAUCCUUUUAAAGUGACAACGGUGGAGAAAAAAAAAAAGAGAAACG